rnacentral:lncRNA from 1 species
ACAAAUACAUUACUGAGGGCCUUUAGCCCUCAAUAAGUUUGGUCAAGAAUAACAUGUUUUCUUGUAGUGUGUGUGUGUAUUUAGUGUAGGAUAUUUGUUUGUUGAAAAUGCUAUUGUGGUGCAUAAUUGUAUGCCUAUGUGUAAGUCGUUUGAGUUCUGUUUAGUGUAGAUUCAAGUGUGAAUUGUGAAACUAGUAAUGAAUUUAAAAUUAUAACUGUGAAGUGUAAAUGUUGAAGUUCUUCAAUACUAGUUUCAUUUUGUUUUGCUAGUUCUCUGUUUUAUUCUUAUUUUUCAGUUCUUUCAUAUGUGAGGAGAUCAUAUACUGGUGAUAUUUACCACGUCUUUAAAAAAAUCAUACAGGUACCAAGCUACCAAGCUUACUUUGCACAUGUAACUUAUUUUAUGGUAAAACUUGUAUGUAUCUGCAAUUGUAAAUGAUUCAGGAAGAUAAUAGGUAUGCCUCAAAUCACACAUUGGGAAUGGAUCUGCCACUCUUAGGUAAGUUUUAACUCAAAACACUAUAUAUUAGUGUCCUUUUCUCUAUUUUUCUGAAGUUCCAGAUUACUAGUCCUGCAUAAUAUUAGAAGUUUGGUAUGCUUAUUUUGUUCUUCUAUUAUUUUGAAUGACUUGUGAAAGAUACAUUCAUCAUGACCUUGUAAAUCAUUCGUAUACAAGUUUUAAUUACUUAAAUUUAUAUUGUUUCGUGGUAUUAUGUUCCAAGUUUCAACUAGCAAGUUUCAUAUUUUGCCUUUUAUUAUAGUACCAGUAUAUUUUUGUUCAAUAUGAACAAUUUUCAACAAAGACAGCAUAUUUGGCAUUGUAUGAACUCUCUCCUAUUGACAAGUCUUAAUUCAUAACAUUUUGGUUCUCUUGCUUUCUAAAUGUUCAGGUAAACAACAAGUCAGACUGGGGCCAUGUCAGUGAUGCCAUAGUUGUUUAGCUAAGGUA